rnacentral:lncRNA from 1 species
AUGGCCUUACACACCCAUAUACACCCAUAUAUACCUCCUUACACACUCAUAUACACCCAUACACGGCCUUACACGCCCUUACACACCCACAUAUACCUCCUUACACACUCACAUAUACCCCCUUACACACUCAUACACCUCCUUACACACCCCUAUACGGCCCUUAGGAUCCCAUUCACCCCCAUUCCCACCCAUUCAGCCCCCAUUACACCCCAUUACACCCCAUUCAUCCCCCUUUACACCCCCAUUCCCACCCCAUUACACCCCUACACCCCAUUCAUGCCCAUUACACCCCAUUCACACCCCAUUCAUGCCCAUUACACCCCCAUUCAUACUCCAUUGCUUCCCAUUACACCCCAUUCAUCCCCCUUUACACCCCAUUCAUACCCCACUGUACCCCAUUACACCCCAUUCACACCCAUUACACCCCAUUCAUCCCCCUUUACACCCCCAUUCAUACCCCAUUGUACCCCAUUACACCCCAUUCACACCCAUUACACCCCAUUACACCCCAUUCACAACCCCUUCCGCCCCCAUUCAUCCCCUUUACACCCCAUUACACCCCCAUUCCCCCCCAUUUACACCCCAUUUACACCCCUGUCCCCCCCCUGUCCCCCCCCACUCCCCCAUUUACACCCCAUUACCCCCACAUCCCCCCUUUAUCCCCAUUUACACACUCACAUCUCCCCAUUGACACACCUACACACACUCACAUCCCCCCUAUAUCCCCAUUUACAUACUCACAUCCCCCCCAUUCCCCCCUAUAUCUCCAUUUACACACUCAAAUCCCCCCUAUAUCCCCAUUUACACACCCACAUCCCCCCUAUAUCCCCAUUUACACACUCACACCCCCCUAUAUCCCCAUUUACACACUCAAAUCCCCCCCAUAUCCCCAUUUACACACUCACAUCCCCCCUAUAUCCCCAUUUACACNNNNNNNNNNNNNNNNNNNNNNNNNAUCCCAUCCAGGUGGCAGCAGGACCCUUCCCCACCCAUCCCCCCCCCCAUGGCUCGAUUCGGUGA